rnacentral:rRNA from 1 species
GCGUGCCUAGUACAUGCAAGUCGAACGCUUUGUGGUUCAACUGAUUUGAAGAGCUUGCUCAGAAAUGACGAUGGACAUUGCAAAGAGUGGCGAACGGGUGAGUAACACGUGGGAAACCUACCUCUUAGCAGGGGAUAACAUUUGGAAACAGAUGCUAAUACCGUAUAACAAUGACAACCGCAUGGUUGUUAUUUAAAAGAUGGUUCUGCUAUCACUAAGAGAUGGUCCCGCGGUGCAUUAGCUAGUUGGUAAGGUAAUGGCUUACCAAGGCGAUGAUGCAUAGCCGAGUUGAGAGACUGAUCGGCCACAAUGGGACUGAGACACGGCCCAUACUCCUACGGGAGGCAGCAGUAGGGAAUCUUCCACAAUGGGCGAAAGCCUGAUGGAGCAACGCCGCGUGUGUGAUGAAGGGUUUCGGCUCGUAAAACACUGUUGUAAGAGAAGAAUGACAUUGAGAGUAACUGUUCAAUGUGUGACGGUAUCUUACCAGAAAGGAACGGCUAAAUACGUGCCAGCAGCCGCGGUAAUACGUAUGUUCCAAGCGUUAUCCGGAUUUAUUGGGCGUAAAGCGAGCGCAGACGGUUAUUUAAGUCUGAAGUGAAAGCCCUCAGCUCAACUGAGGAAUUGCUUUGGAAACUGGAUGACUUGAGUGCAGUAGAGGAAAGUGGAACUCCAUGUGUAGCGGUGAAAUGCGUAGAUAUAUGGAAGAACACCAGUGGCGAAGGCGGCUUUCUGGACUGUAACUGACGUUGAGGCUCGAAAGUGUGGGUAGCAAACAGGAUUAGAUACCCUGGUAGUCCACACCGUAAACGAUGAGUGCUAGGUGUUUGAGGGUUUCCGCCCUUAAGUGCCGCAGCUAACGCAUUAAGCACUCCGCCUGGGGAGUACGACCGCAAGGUUGAAACUCAAAGGAAUUGACGGGGACCCGCACAAGCGGUGGAGCAUGUGGUUUAAUUCGAAGCAACGCGAAGAACCUUACCAGGUCUUGACAUCCCUUGACAACUCCAGAGAUGGAGUGUUCCCUUCGGGGACAAGGUGACAGGUGGUGCAUGGUUGUCGUCAGCUCGUGUCGUGAGAUGUUGGGUUAAGUCCCGCAACGAGCGCAACCCUUAUUACUAGUUGCCAGCAUUCAGUUGGGCACUCUAGUGAGACUGCCGGUGACAAACCGGAGGAAGGUGGGGAUGACGUCAAAUCAUCAUGCCCCUUAUGACCUGGGCUACACACGUGCUACAAUGGCGUAUACAACGAGUUGCCAACCCGCGAGGGUGAGCUAAUCUCUUAAAGUACGUCUCAGUUCGGAUUGUAGGCUGCAACUCGCCUACAUGAAGUCGGAAUCGCUAGUAAUCGCGGAUCAGCACGCCGCGGUGAAUACGUUCCCGGGUCUUGUACACACCGCCCGUCACACCAUGAGAGUUUGUAACACCCAAAGCCGGUGGGGUACACCUUCGGGAGCCAGCCGUCUAAGGU